rnacentral:rRNA from 1 species
ACGAACGCUGGCGGCGUGCUUAACACAUGCAAGUCGAACGGUAAGGCCCCAGCUUGCUGGGGUACACGAGUGGCGAACGGGUGAGUAACACGUGGGUGACCUGCCCCGCACUUCGGGAUAAGCCUGGGAAACUGGGUCUAAUACCGGAUAGGACCGCACCGUGAGGGUGUGGUGGAAGGUUUUUCGGUGUGGGAUGGGCCCGCGGCCUAUCAGCUUGUUGGUGGGGUAAUGGCCUACCAAGGCGGCGACGGGUAGCCGGCCUGAGAGGGUGGACGGCCACAUUGGGACUGAGACACGGCCCAGACUCCUACGGGAGGCAGCAGUGGGGAAUAUUGCACAAUGGGCGGAAGCCUGAUGCAGCGACGCCGCGUGGGGGAUGACGGCCUUCGGGUUGUAAACUCCUUUCACCAUCGACGAAGGUUUUCUGACGGUAGAUGGAGAAGAAGCACCGGCUAACUACGUG